AGUGAACGCUGGCGGUAGGCCUAACACAUGCAAGUCGAACGGCAGCACAGUAAGAGCUUGCUCUUACGGGUGGCGAGUGGCGGACGGGUGAGGAAUACAUCGGAAUCUACUUUUUCGUGGGGGAUAACGUAGGGAAACUUACGCUAAUACCGCAUACGACCUACGUGUGAAAGUAGGGGAUCUUCGGACCUUGCGCGAUUGAAUGAGCCGAUGUCGGAUUAGCUAGUUGGCGGGGUAAAGGCCCACCAAGGCGACGAUCCGUAGCUGGUCUGAGAGGAUGAUCAGCCACACUGGAACUGAGACACGGUCCAGACUCCUACGGGAGGCAGCAGUGGGGAAUAUUGGACAAUGGGCGCAAGCCUGAUCCAGCCAUACCGCGUGGGUGAAGAAGGCCUUCGGGUUGUAAAGCCCUUUUGUUGGGAAAGAAAAGCAGCAGGUUAAUACCCCGCUGUGCUGACGGUACCCAAAGAAUAAGCACCGGCUAACUUCGUG
rnacentral:rRNA from 1 species